CCUACGGGAGGCAGCAGUGGGGAAUUUUUCACAAUGGCCGAAAGCCUGAUGCAGCAAUGCAGCGUGAGUGAUGAAGGUCCUAUAGAUUGUAAACUUCUUUUAUUUGGGAAGAAAAACUAACAUAGGAACUGACUUUAGUCUACCUGUACCAUUAGAAUCAGUAUCGGCUAACUAUGUGCCAGCAGCCGCGGUAAUCCUUAGGAUGCAAGCGUUAUCCGGAUUUACUGGGAGUAACACGAGAGCAGGCGGGUUAACAAGUUUGGUAUGAAAGGCUUUUGCUUAACGAAAGUUUGUAUCAUAAACUGGUAAUCUAGAGUGUAGUAGAGAGAUCUGGAAUU
rnacentral:rRNA from 1 species